UGGCUAACUGAAUUCUUAUGUCCCUUCAUUCUCUCAUUCUAGAUUUCUGAAAAUUAUUUCUUCUUUUCAAGGCUCUAAGAGUCCAGAACAAACCCCGAAAAGUAACUCUUGGGUUUUUGGCAGAGGAAGUCUCCUGAAUGGAAAAGUGAGGCGCCUUUAGUUACAGAUCAACCUUCAUGGGAAAUGCUUGACGGAAACUUUAUGGCUCCUAUCCCUCUCCAGCCCUUGGACCGACCGCAGUGCUACAGUGACCCAUGAUGCCAUGCAGCUGAGUCACCCGGAGAUGCUGCUGUACAUCAAAGGGCAGAGAAGCAGGUCCCGGGGAGUCUCUAGCCCUCCCUGCACGUCAUCCCUUUGCUUGUACAAGCACAUCCAUCUCACCUGGUGAUGUCACUGCCCUGGAUUCAUAUGAGCCACAGAGAGCAGCUGAUGACAGGACUCCUAGGCAAGGGAGGGGGACUUCUGUCUGAUGUCACUUCAAAGAGAGGUGAGUUUUAUAGGUAAACCUGUGUGUGGCUCUCCUGAGACAAAGGUCACCUGGUUCCACAUAGUAUUGGAAGAGGGCAAAGAGAGAGGAUAGAAUUUCUGGCUGAAGCAAAGGGGAGGCUGCACCUCUCACGUUCACUCCAAAGGAGACAAACUCUUUCCUAAGAUGAGAUCACCCAGCAUGCUCAGCAAGGUGCUAAAAAAUAAUUGCCCUCAAUGAAGA
rnacentral:lncRNA from 1 species